rnacentral:rRNA from 1 species
CUUGAUAUCCACUGUGGAAUUCGCCCUUCCGCGGUAAUUCCAGCUCCAAUAGCGWAUACUAAUGUUGUUGCUGUUAAAAAGCUCGUAGUUGGAUUCAGAGGUGGGGUUGUGGGUCGGGUGUGGCCCGGCAGCUCGUCUCCGUGUGCCGCUCCCAAUCAACCCGCGUUUGCCCCAGCCUCCUAUCGCACGGAAACGGAGUCCUGCUGGGGUCUCCUUAACUGGGGGUUCCAGCGCUUCCGCGCACAACGUGCKCUUACGGACCGUCCGUGGACKUUACUGUGAACAAAACAGCGUGUUCAAAGCAAGUGGCUUGCCUGCCCUGCAUGUAAAGCAUGGAAUAACAGGUCAUCGACCACUCGGCGGUGCUUUUGUUGGUCUUUCCCUCCCGG